UAGGGAAUCUUCGGCAAUGGACGAAAGUCUGACCGAGCAACGCCGCGUGAGUGAAGAAGGUUUUCGGAUCGUAAAACUCUGUUGUUAGAGAAGAACAAGGACGUUAGUAACUGAACGUCCCCUGACGGUAUCUAACCAGAAAGCCACGGCUAACUACGUGCCAGCAGCCGCGGUAAUACGUAGGUGGCAAGCGUUGUCCGGAUUUAUUGGGCGUAAAGCGAGCGCAGGCGGUUUCUUAAGUCUGCUGUGAAAGCCCCCGGCUCAACCGGGGAGGGUCAUUGGAAACUGGGAGACUUGAGUGCAGGAGAGGAGAGUGGAGUUCCAUGUGUGGCGGUGAAAUGCGUCGAGAUAUGGAGGAACACCAGUGGGGAAGGCGGCUCUCUGGGCUGUAACUGACGCUGAGGCUCGAAAGCGUGGGGAGCUAACAGG
rnacentral:rRNA from 1 species